rnacentral:rRNA from 1 species
CCUACGGGUGGCUGCAGUGGGGAAUAUUGGACAAUGGGGGCAACCCUGAUCCAGCCAUGCCGCGUGUGUGAAGAAGGCCCUCGGGUUGUAAAGCACUUUCAGUGAGGAAGAACGCCUGGUGGUUAAUACCCAUCAGGAAAGACAUCACUCACAGAAGAAGCACCGGCUAACUCCGUGCCAGCAGCCGCGGUAAUACGGAGGGUGCGAGCGUUAAUCGGAAUUACUGGGCGUAAAGCGCGCGUAGGUGGCUUGAUAAGCCGGUUGUGAAAGCCCCGGGCUCAACCUGGGAACGGCAUCCGGAACUGUCAAGCUAGAGUGCAGGAGAGGAAGGUAGAAUUCCCGGUGUAGCGGUGAAAUGCGUAGAGAUCGGGAGGAAUACCAGUGGCGAAGGCGGCCUUCUGGUCUGACACUGACACUGAGGUGCGAAAGCGUGGGUAGCAAACAGGAUUAGAUACCCGUGUAGUC